AUGAUCUUUAAAUAGCCGCAGAAUUUUAACUGUGCUAAGGUAGCAUAAUCAUUUACCUUUUAAUUGAAGGUUUGAAUGAAAGAUUUUACAUUUAAAUUAUUUUUUUAUUAAACAAAUUUAAAUUUUAUUAAAAAUAAAAAUAUUUUUAUAAAUAAAAAAGACGACAAGACCCUAUUGAACUUUACUAAAGUUAAGCUGGGGCAGCUAGUUAAAUACAAUUUUAAUUCUAGUUCUAAUAUAAAUUUCUAGUAACACUAACCAGAACAAGUUACCAUAGGGAUAACAGCGUAAUAAUUUUUUAAAGCUCUUAUUAAAAAAGCAGAUUACGACCUCGAUGUUGAAUUAAAUUUACUUUAAAACGCAAUAGUAUUAAAAGUAGGUC
rnacentral:rRNA from 1 species